rnacentral:misc_RNA from 1 species
GAUGAAGAACGUAGUGAAAUGCGAUACUUGGUGUGAAUUGCAGAAUCCCGUGAACCAUCGAGUCUUUGAACGCAAGUUGCGCCCGAAGCCAUCAGGUUGAGGGCACGUCUGCCUGGGCGUCACAUAUCGUUGCCCAAUGCCUAUUGCAGUGCAAUAGGAAUUUCUAGGGCGAAUGAUGUCUUCCCGUGAGCGUUGUUGCCUCGCGGUUGGUUGAAAAUCGAGUCCUUGGUAGGGUGUGCCAUGGUAGAUGGUGGUCGAGUUAGAACGAUACCGAUCAUGUGCAUGCUCCCCAAAAUAUGGCCUCUAUGACCCACACGCGUCUUUUGACGCUCAUGACGAGACCUCAGGUCAGGCGGGGCUACCCGCUGAAUUUAAGCAUAUCAAUAAGCGGAGGA